rnacentral:piRNA from 1 species
CUGCUCUGAAAAGGUGGGAGAAGUGCG